rnacentral:rRNA from 1 species
GUGGGAAGGUAGCAUAAUCAGUAGUCUUUUAAUUGGAGGCUGGAAUGAAUGGUUGGACAAGGGGGAAGCUGUCUCUUUUUACAAUUUUUGAAUUUUACUUUUAAGUGAAAAGGCUUAAAUAAUUUGGGGGGACGAUAAGACCCUAUAAAAUUUUACAAAAUUGGGAUUUUUUUUUGAAUUAAGGUUUAAAUUCUAUAAGUUCUUAUUUGUUUUGUUGGGGCGGCAAAGAUAAAAAUUAGUAACUGUCAUUUAAUUAGAAUAAUUAUAAUUAGUUUAAUUGAUCCUUUAUUAGAGAUUAAAAGAUUAAGUUACUUUAGGGAUAACAGCGUAAUUUUCCCUGACAGUUCUUAUCGACGGGAGUAGUUGCGACCCCGA